UUUGAUUUUGAAGAGCAAUAAAAGGAAAUAAUUUUCGCUUCAAAAAUGAUAACUGGAUUAAAAAAAAAUUCUGAUAUUGACCGGUUAUCUGGAAACCAUUUCCUUUUGCAACGCAUUGAAAUGUUGGAAGUGCAUCGCCCAUGACUGCGAUUUAGACCUUGAAGAUAAUUACAAGGCGUCAAAGGUCAAAUGUCAGGAUGGUCAAAUGUGUAUGAAAGUACGGUACAGAAUGUUUGACAAUGUGACACACUAUGAUUCUGUGAUACGAACGUGUACUGACACUACCUGUGACACAUCCUCUAUGGAAGAUUUCAUGUCGUGUAUAUCCAACCCUGCAAAGUACAUGAUUGGAGGUUGCGCGUUGCGAUCUUGUUGUGAUGACAAAGAUCUGUGUAAUUCUAGUAGAACAAUCUUUUCUUUGUCAUAUGCAUUCUAGCAUUGUGUAUCACAUUUAUGCUGUUGAACAAUUAUACCAUAAACGAUGUCCAGACGUAGACUGAGUCACACUUUUGUAUGUCACUUUUGGGAAUGCAUUAUUUUGUCUUGGUUACUUCUUAUAUCAGAUUUAUUGUUUUAAUCCUUUUAAAUGUAGCAUAACGCUAGUAAUGCUUAUGAAGGCAAAUAUUAUUCUUAUAAUAUCUGCAUUUGUACGAUUGCUUGGGAUGCAUUCAAUUAAACAAAAUAUUCCCUGUGUUGCUUUGAAGCUUCUCAAAUUUUGUACAUUUUGUAUACUUAUUUUUAAUGGGUUGUAAAAACAUGAUGCGCUGAUGAUUUUAAAGAUAAUUGCUGAAUUAAGUAAACGACUUUUACUUUUCUGUUAUUUUUUUUAUUUCGAUCAAUGAUUCAAAUGCUUUUAUUAUUGAGAGUUAAAUAUAUUUUCACCUGUUUCUUGUGGCUGAAUGAUGUUGCAUCUAGUUAUGAUUAAAAGAGUUAUGAUUA